rnacentral:rRNA from 1 species
GACAGAGGAUGCAAACGUUGCUCGGAAUUACUGGGCGUAAAGCGCGCGCAGGCGGUUCGGUAAGUCAGGUGUGAAAUCCCGGGGCUCAACCUCGGAAGGGCACAUGAUACUGCCAAACUUGAGUACUGGAGAGGAGAGUGGAAUUCCCGGUGUAGAGGUGAAAUUCGUAGAUAUCGGGAGGAACACCAGUGGCGAAGGCGACUCUCUGGACAGAUACUGACGCUGAGGCGCGAAAGCGUGGG